UGGUCCCAGAAGGAAAAACGACGGCUUCAGUCGGCACGCGGCGUCGCGACGCACUCCAUCGUACGCGUUUCGUCCAACCGCGGAACAACGGUCCCCUAUGUGUGUCGAAUCCCAUCGCUCGACUGUGUAACCUCAACAUAAACAACAACACUCGGGGUGAGACCUGCGAUCACGAAAGUUGUGUAAGUGAUUGGUAAACGACUUUUCCUCUUACGUUCGUUGCCACAAACUAUCGCGGACGUUCCUUGAACUUCGAACAACGAGCGACCGUGAACGUCCGUAUUGCGGCCCUCGACCAAUGGAAUAAGAAAAAUGAAAAGAUACAUCCAGAAGGCAAUCGAUUUCGGCGUAGAAUCCGGUUAUCUCAUUCCGAAAGACGCGGCGUACAAAGUUUUCCGUGUAUCUUCGGAUCUCAUGAACGAAGGCAAUUAAGAAAGUAAGGAUAGAAAGUCGGACAGCACUGUUUCACAAGUUGAGGACAGAAGGCCUCGUCGAACGCCGAUUAGAUUCGAAGACAACGAGGUGCAGGACACCAAGGAGCGACAACGUAGAAACAGGAGGAGAAGAGGUUCAUGGCGAAGGAGAUCCAGGAGUGGAUCCAGAAGAAGGCGAAAGAGGACGCGAAGGAUAUCACGAAGAAGACACGGCAGGAGACGUGACGAAUCUGGAGCCGAGGAAGAAGUGGUAGAGAUCGAGAACGACGAUGAUUACAACUUCGAGAAACAGGGAGAGAAAAGGAAGAGUCCGGAUAACGCGAACGUAAGCGAGAAAAACGAACGUCUAAAUCAGUCCGAUGGUGAAAAAAAAGCAGAGAAGGCAGAGGACGAUAGUUCGGAUCUGUCCAUCGAGGAGGACGAAAGUGACGACGAGGAAGGAAAAAAGAGAGAAGAUACGACAAAAUCGUAAACGUGGAUACAUCGACAAAUUGAUCGUGUUGUGUCAAACUCAUACCUUGAGAUUAUGACGUCAAAUGAAACUGUUUAUUCAUAUAAAAGAGAUGAAAUGUCUCGUGGUAAUAUUUUCUUAUUGGAAUUCUUCUUGCAAUUGACAAUUAUGUAGAAUACUUAUUUAUGGUCGUGGUGAUUCAUACAAGUGUAGUCAUGAGUAAUAGGUUCACGUUUACAUUUUUUGACAAUAAAACAAUAUUAUUGUGAAACUUA